rnacentral:rRNA from 1 species
UGGGGAAUAUUGGACAAUGGGCGCAAGCCUGAUCCAGCCAUGCCGCGUGAGUGAUGAAGGCCUUAGGGUUGUAAAGCUCUUUCAGUGGGGAAGCGGUACCCACAGAAGAAGCCCCGGCUAACUUCGUGCCAGCAGCCGCGGUAAUACGAAGGGGGCUAGCGUUGUUCGGAUUUACUGGGCGUAAAGCGCACGUAGGCGGAAUGUUAAGUCGGGGGUGAAAUCCCGGGGCUCAACCCCGGAACUGCCUUCGAUACUGGCAAUCUAGAGUCCGGAAGAGGUGAGUGGAACUCCUAGUGUAGAGGUGGAAUUCGUAGAUAUUAGGAAGAACACCAGUGGCGAAGGCGGCUCACCGGUCCGGUACUGACGCUGAGGUGCGAAAGCGUGGGGAGCAAACAGGAUUAGAUACCCGAGUAGU